rnacentral:precursor_RNA from 1 species
CCACCUGCCACAGGGCCUUGGCUGCCUCUUCCCUUGACUGUCACGGACCCUUUGGCAGAUGAGU